UCCUCAUGGAACCAGAAUCUAUAAAGUGGUGCUUAAGACUGGAGAAAGUCUGGAGGAAUUCUUAUUAUAAAGAUGUUUCUUAAAACCAAGAAAUUCCUUUCCUGAUGCUGAAUUGUUCCCAUUCAUAGUGGAGGACAGGAGUGAAGGAUCAAAUCCAGCUUUCAGGCUUGUCUUCUUUCUCCCUGAAAUGCUUUAUUACAGAACUCAAUUAAGAGCAAAUUUCCCCCUCCAACUUACAUCUAACAAGGUCAUGCCUGCCUUUAUGAAAUAUUGAAUCUGCAGCUGCAGGAUUUAUUACAACAGUAUUUUAAAACACAUGAUGCUGGUGCAGCAUCUCUAAUUAGAAAUGCCCUGAGCUCACUGUGCAGGCCAAGUGUUGUUUCCAAACUGCAGCAUCCACAUCAAGAGGCAAGUUUAUACAUGUUGGAAGGACAAAGAGAGAUACCUGUGGGAAAAAACUGGAGUCUGCUGAGAAGUGCUGCUGUGCUGUUAUUUCUUACUUCUUUAAUUUGAAUUAGCUCAGUUUGAGACAGAUUUUUGCCUCAGUAGCAUUACUGAGUUGCAGCAGUUUAGUGGAGAGGGAAGAUCAGGGCUAAAAUCUUCAGCUUUGUGUUACAGUGUGACCAAUUACAUACUUUGCCACAGUGGCCAGUAAGAAGUAAUUAAAAUGGAAGAUGGACUGAUGCUGGAUGUUUAUCACAGUAAGGCUGCUCUGUUUCCCUUGUGAGGAAAUCUAGCAGGCAGACACAGGAAAAGACAGGAGAUGAAUACACCAGAAGAGUUCUGUUGUACACUACAAAUUGCCCACUGCGGUACCAGACAGCCUGUGUUGAUCACACACCUAAAGAACAUCUCUUUUCCUUGAAUAUGAAACAUGGCAAGCCACUGUAGGAGGGCUCAGGAUUGACACUGCUGUCCUGCAGGGAUAAUUAGGAAUUUACCAAAGCAGAGCAACUGACGCCUUGAGAGACAGCAGAGAGAAGGACCAGUGCCAAGUUAAACUGAUCUGCAGAAUGCCAGGUUAUCUGUGAGAGAAGGCUCGUCAGCGUCAGUUUUCAGUGCAAUGGGAUGAUGCUCUGAGGAGACACUGAAGAGCUGUGAAGAGCUGGGAGGUGGCAGGUACAGGGGGGAGCAGCUCCUGGCUUCCCUGGAACAUCCCCCUGAAGCUGACAUUUAUGGCCUUUACUACAGAGAGGAAAACAAGAACUGAAGUAACUCCAGCACCUGGGAUAUGUUUGAGAAAUGGAGAAAUCUGUGUGAUGAAAGCACCUGCUGAAACUUCCCCCAUGCACCCAGAGAGAUGCUCUCUUGAGUUCCUCCCCUCUAUCAUUGUGAAAUCAUUCAUCUUCUAAAUUAUUUUUGUAGAUGACUGCUGAAUCAUGCACAGAAACUCUCAUAGAAGGGAGAGCAAAGACUUCCUCAGACAGUGCUCGGCAGUGAAGGAUGGUUGAAUGGACUUUCCUGGCUGCUGCUGCAGAGAAGGCUCAGGACAUGCAGUUUCCCACAAGGAUGCAUACUGCUCCGCAAUGGUUCUACAAAUCCUGCUGUGCACCCCACCCAAAGCCCCACUGAGGAGGGUCGCUGCUGAUGGGGGCGGGGGGUGUGCACGGCUCCACCUCCUUUGCUCCUGAGCACUUUCUGCUGCUGGCUUUGCCUCUCUACCUGCUGUUUAUAAAUGUUUUACAGAAUCUGCUUCCUUGAAACCAAAGUGAAGCAACAGCUGUGUUUGCAUCAAGUUGCAACAUCUCCUUGCUAGAUGGAGGCACAUCUUGUCACAAGUGGCACUGGUAGUGAAAGAACCUGCCUGGCUGGGAGCUGCUCACUCCUCUGAGUUUUUCAAGGACCCUAUCUGCAGUGCUACAGCCAGAUGUGUCUUGGGAUGCAAUCAAAUUCUAGAUCUUUUCAGCUGAAAGCUAGAUGAGCGAGGAACAGGCAUUUUCACACAGCAGAGAGUUGCCUCAAGAAGAAGCUUUGAAUGCGGUGCCAGCACAACAGCAGCGAGAGAAAAUAAGACAAGUACCUCCACGAUGCAAUAAAUACUACUGCUAUUUCCUAUUGUUCAUCUGAA